rnacentral:rRNA from 1 species
UACGGGGGGAGCAAGCGUUGUUCGGAUUUACUGGGCGUAAAGGGCGCGUAGGCGGUAGCACAAGUCAGUUGUGAAAUCUCCGGGCUUAACUCGGAAAGGUCAACUGAUACUGUGCGACUAGAGUGCAGAAGGGGCAACUGGAAUUCUCGGUGUAGCGGUGAAAUGCGUAGAUAUCGAGAGGAACACCUGCGGCGAAGGCGGGUAGCUGGGCCGACACUGACGCUGAUGCGCGAAGC